AUCUGGGGGGUAUUCCAAAAAGCAGGUUAUGUGACAUACCUGGGUAUGUAUAAGGGUAAGUUCGUGGAUAACCUCAACGUUCGGUUCCAAAAACAGAGGUCACUUUCUGGGUAUGUAUGUAACCAUAGCAACUGACUCUCUGAAGAUAACCUGCUCGAGAGCAGGUUAUGUUUCAGUGUAACUUCGUUUCAGAAGGUUGGUGAGCAUGGCGUGCCCUUUUGACGAGGAUCCUGUGGACGUUGAAGCACAAAUUAUACGAGGUUUUUUUCAUCGGGAGAGGGUUAUAAGACCGCGUAUUGAUGUGUUUGCUUACCCUAAUGAAUAUUUAAAAGAGCGUUAUCGUUUUUCAAAAGAUUCAUUAGUUUAUUUAACACGUCUUUUAAAACCGCAUAUCGCAAAUGUGACAAACCGCGGCUCUGCGCUUAGCACAGAAAACAUUCUGUGCAUAGCACUUAGGUUUUUUGCGUCUGGCCAUUUUUUGUACAGUGUGGGCGAUUCAGAGCAUGUGGGAAAGGCAACUGUGUGUAGAGCCGUUCGUACAGUGUGUCUGGCACUUAAACAGUUGUUACCCACGUUUGUACAGUUCCCUGGCCAUAAACCUCUGCUUGUUAUUAAAGACGAAUUCCACAGAGUGGCAGGUUUGUCCUUUGUAGUAAAAUAUAUGACGCAUAUUUAAUAUUUAGUCAUAUUAUUAAUAUCUAUACAUGUAUUCCUUAUGCACACACUUCAUACUUCCAAAACUUUCUGUUUCAGGGUUUCCAAAUGUAAUUGGGUGCAUUGAUGGCACUCACAUUCCUAUUAAAGCUCCAUCAAUAAAUGAGGGAGACUAUGUUAAUAGGAAAUCUAUUCAUAGUAUCAAUGUGCAGGUAACAACUUAAUUUUUUCCCCUUCUUAAAAUCAUCAAAGUCAUUACUUUUUCCACUAACUAUAGGUAAUAUGUGAGGCAACCCAAAUCAUCACCAAUGUCGAGGCAAAAUGGCCAGGAUCUGUGCAUGAUGCCAGAAUUUUCCGCGAGUCAUCAUUAUGCCAGACAUUUCAGCAGGGACAGUACAAUGGUUACUUGCUGGGGGACAGAGGAUACCCUUGUCUGCCCUAUUUAAUGACACCCUACCCUGAACCUGAGCCUGGACCACAGACACGGUUUAACCUGGCUCACAGCCGAACACGGGCCAAGGUGGAGAUGACUAUAGGGAUCCUCAAAUCUCGGUUUCAGUGUCUGCGUGGGCUCCGGGUUAGUCCAGAGAGGGCAUGCGAUAUUAUUGUGGCUUGUGUUGUGCUUCACAAUAUUGCCACUAUAAGAGGAGAGAGCCACCCUCCUUGUAUUGAGGAAGAUGGCCCAGAGGAACACCGACAGAUUUUAGAGGCCAACAGAGACGGAAGACUUUUGAGAGACAGGAUUUGUCAAAAUUACUUUUAUUAGUUUUUUUUGCACUGGUCUGCCAGGCAGUUUAUUUCUUCAUUUCCUGAAAAACAAUAAAAGUAAAAUUCAUUAAAA